rnacentral:misc_RNA from 1 species
UCCGGUUUGGCACCGGCAGUCCUCCCAGAGUCCCCGCCUUGACGCGCUGGCAACUGGGAGCGGGGGUUGCGCUCGUUGCGGGACUUAACCCAACAUCUCACGACACGAGCUGACGACAGCCACGCACCACCUGUGUAGGGCCCCGAAGGACACCGUAUCUCUACGGCUUUUCCCUACAUGUCAAGCCUAGGUAAGGUUCUUCGCGUUGCGUCGAAUUAAACCACAUGCUCCACCGCUUGUGCGGGCCCCCGUCAAUUCCUUUGAGUUUCAACCUUGCGGUCGUACUCCCCAGGCGGGGUACUUCCUGCGUUAGCGCCGGCACCCAGAGGGUCGCUCCCCGGAGCACCUAGUGCCCAUCGUUUACGGCGUGGACUAC